rnacentral:tRNA from 1 species
GAUCUGGCUCAGUGGCAGAGCACGUGUCUAGCACAUAUGAGGCCCUGGGUUCAAUUCCCAGCGCAUCA